AAGGUAACGGCUUACCAAGGCGACGAUCAGUAGCCGACCUGAGAGGGUGAUCGGCCACAUUGGAACUGAGACACGGUCCAAACUCCUACGGGAGGCAGCAGUAGGGGAUCUUCGGCAAUGGGCGAAAGCCUGACCGAGCAACGCCGCGUGAAUGAUGAAGGCCUUCGGGUUGUAAAAUUCUGUCCUCAAGGAAGAUAAUGACGGUACUUGAGGAGGAAGCCCCGGCUAACUAC
rnacentral:rRNA from 1 species